GAAGUCUUUCUGGAAUGCCUCUCUGGGCCAUUGCUAGGCAACGGCGAUGAAGCAUUAAAGAAGACAACACAGGUCCUGCCUUCAUGGGGCUUACCCUCUGGUGAUAAGAAAGUGAAUAUAAUUGUAUUUGAAGGAUACUGAGAAGGCAAGAAACAGCAUCUGAGAUAGACUGGGAAGUGUCUAUUUUAACGGUGCAUGGGGACAGAGGCUCUAACCAUGGGGAUUAGGAAGUUUGGCACAAUGAGGCUUCUGCUUUGCCCAACUCAGAUAGCUUCCACACCUAAUCAUGCACAUAUGCUGGGCCUGUCAGUGUCAGGGUCUUAAACUAUCAACAGAUCUUCAAUAGGCAGAGCCGGUGUUUCAGGGAGGUAGGGGAAGACAGAAUAAAUAAAUCAGUUCCUACAAAAUACACCUGAUCUGCCCUCUACCCCUUACUGCAUGCAUUGGUACUGUUCACUUAACCUCUCUGUGCCUCAGCUUCUUCAUAGGAUUGUGUUGACAUAUAUAAAUUACUAAACGGUGUUUAGCAUAUAAUAAUAAGUGAUGAAUAGAUAUAAAUCUUUCCUGAAACAUUGUUAUGGCUUAAUAUUAGCUUUCUUGAGGAUAUGUCUGCCCUGAAAAAAAAAAGUGUAUAUUCCCUCUACUAGGUCUACACUGUACUUGCACAUCUCCAUUAUUACUCCCCCAUUAAAUGAUGUUCAUGUCUUUUGCCCACUCCGCUAAGGAGGAAGACAUGGCUGACAGUGAGAAUCAUCCAAACUGAGACUGGCUAUCUAUCUGUAAUCAAGAUCCAGACAAAUGUAUGCCACUACGGUGAAGAGGAAGUCCUUGGAGCCCCAGUUGGCAGGAGAAUCUGUGACUUCUUAUUCCAUCUUCAAGCAAAGAAGUCUUUCGUCUGCUACAUUUGAAAAGUCAAAAGCCUUUUAUAAUGAUGAAGUAUUAAAUGAGAAGCAUAGAUCCUGAAUAUAGAGUAAUAGAAAAACAGAAGUAGACACACCUGAGUUCAAACCCUGACUUUGCUACCAACUAGGCAAGAGGUAAGUCACUAAUCUCUCUGCACCUCAGUUUUCUUAUCUGCAAAACAGUGAUAGUAAUAGCUGCCAUGUUCAGAGUUCUUAUGUGAUUAUACAGCAAUGUAAGUCAUAUAUUUUGCACUCUGUGCAGUGAUAUUUCUUAGUGAUAGAUGCGUGUUUCAGCAACAUUUACAGUUAUGAUUCUCAAAUAGUUAACUAAAUGUAUUCCUGUUGUGAGGACAGGGGGAGAAAAGGGCAUUUUUUUUUUUUUUUUUUUUUUUUUUGAGACGAAGUCUCACUCUGUCUCCCAGGCUGGAGUACAGUGGCAUGAUCUCAGUUCACUGCAACCUCCGCCUCCUGGGUUCAAGCGAUUCUCCUGCCUCAGCCUCCCAAGUAGCUGGGAUUACAGGCACAUGCCACCAUGUCUAGCUAAUUUUUAUAUUUUUAGUAGAGACGGGGCUUUGCCAUGUUUGCCAGGCUGGUCUUGAACUCCUGACCUCAAGUGUUCUUCCCACCUUGGCCUCCCAAAGUGCUGGGAUUACAGGCGUGAGCCAUCACACCUGGCCAAAACAGGCAUUUCUUUAGCUGCUAUACUCCUUCUGGUAGAAAGUAAAU
rnacentral:lncRNA from 13 species